rnacentral:rRNA from 1 species
GACGAACGCUGGCGGCGUGCUUAACACAUGCCAGUCGAACGGAAAGGCCCUGCUUUUGUGGGGUGCUCGAGUGGCGAACGGGUGAGUAACACGUGAGUAACCUGCCCUUGACUUUGGGAUAACUUCAGGAAACUGGGGCUCAUACCGGAUAGGAGCUACUGCUGCAUGGUGGGGGUUGGAGAGUUUCGGCGGUUGUGGAUGGAUUCGCGGCUUAUCAGCUUGUUGGUGGGGUAGUGGCUUACCAAGGCUUUGACGGGUAGCCGGCAUGAGAGGGUGACCGGCCACAUUGGGACUGAGAUACGGCCCAGACUCCUACGGGAGGCAGCAGUGGGGAAUAUUGCACAAUGGGCGGAAGCCUGAUGCAGCAACGCCGCGUGCGUGAUGACGUCCUUCGGGUUGUAAACCGCUUUCGCCUGUGACGAAGCGUGAGUGACGGUAAUGGGUAAAGAAGCACCGGCUAACUACGUG